UACGGAGGGUGCAAGCGUUAUCCGGAUUCACUGGGUUUAAAGGGUGCGUAGGCGGACAGGUAAGUCAGUGGUGAAAUCUCUGGGCUUAACCCAGAAACUGCCGUUGAUACUAUUUGUCUUGAAUAUCCUGGAGGUAGGCGGAAUAUGUCAUGUAGCGGUGAAAUGCUUAGAUAUGACAUAGAACACCGAUAGCGAAGGCAGCUUACUACAGGAUGAUUGACGCUGAGGCACGAAAGCGUGGGGAGCGAACAGG
rnacentral:rRNA from 1 species